AACGCUGGCGGCGUGCCUAACACAUGCAAGUCGCGCGAGAAAGUCUCCGCAAGGGGGCGAGUAAAGCGGCGCACGGGUGCGUAACACGUGGGUAACCUGCCUAGAAGACCGGAAUAACCUUCCGAAAGGAGGGCUAAUACUGGAUAAGACCACGAGGGCUUUGGCUCUUGCGGUAAUAAGGUGGCCUCUGUACACAAGCUACCACUUCUAGAGGGGCCCGCGGCCCAUCAGCUAGUUGGCGGGGUAACGGCCCACCAAGGCGACGACGGGUAGCUGGUCUGAGAGGACGAUCAGCCACACUGGAACUGAGACACGGUCCAGACUCCUACGGGAGGCAGCAGUGGGGAAUUUUGCGCAAUGGGCGAAAGCCUGACGCAGCAACGCCGCGUGAGUGAUGAAGGUCUUCGGAUCGUAAAGCUCUUUCGGCCGGGACGAAAACCGGUUGGCUAACAUCCAACCGUUUGACGGUACCGGAAGAAGAAGCACCGGCUAACUCUGUGCCAGCAGCCGCGGUAAUACAGAGGGUGCAAGCGUUGUUCGGAAUUAUUGGGCGUAAAGCGCGUGUAGGCGGUGAUGCAUGUCGGGUGUGAAAGCCCUCGGCUUAACCGGGGAAGUGCGCCCGAAACUGCAUCGCUGGAGUGCCGGAGAGGGUGGCGGAAUUCCCGGUGUAGAGGUGAAAUUCGUAGAUAUCGGGAGGAACACCAGUGGCGAAGGCGGCCACCUGGACGGACACUGACGCUGAGACGCGAAAGCGUGGGUAGCAAACAGGAUUAGAUGCCCUGGUAGUCCACGCCGUAAACGAUGGGAACUAGGUGUGGUGGGUGUUGACCCCCGCCGUGCCGCAGCUAACGCAUUAAGUUCCCCGCCUGGGAAGUACGGCCG
rnacentral:rRNA from 1 species